CCCAUACCGAACACGGAAGUUAAGCUCUUUAGCGCCGAUGGUAGUUGGGGGCUUCCCCCUGUGAGAGUAGGACAUUGCUUCGC
rnacentral:rRNA from 1 species